UACAUGUGGGGCAAGCGUUGUUCGGAAUUACUGGGCAUAAAGGGUGCGUAGGUGGUUUGUUAAGUCAGGGGUGAAAUCCCGCGGCCCAACCGUGGAACUGCCUUUGAUACUGGCGAACUUGAGUGCGUGAGGGGUAGGGGGAACGAGCAGUGUAGCGGUGAAAUGCGUAGAUAUUGCUCGGAGGGCCAGAGCCGAAGGGGCCCUACUGGUGCGCAACUGACACUGAGGCACGAAAGCGUGGGGAGCAAACAGG
rnacentral:rRNA from 1 species